AAGUCGUAACAAGGUUUCCGUAGGUGAACCUGCGGAAGGAUCAUUAACACGUAUCCACGUAUUACUCUACUUAUCAACAAACCAUGAACCGUGCUCCCUGUACAGGUCGACCUGCCUUGCUGUCCGAUUUGGGUUGUAGUGGGUUACACUUCGGUGUGACACACCCGGUCGGGCUAUCACUCCUCCGAGAGUGUGGCAUCAAGCAAACUGACUGACAGGCUUACUAACACUUACUUCGUUCCAACCACUUUGGGGCGUGGCGAGGAGCCCAUACCAAUUUCACCCUAUCUUACCUAAUUGGCUAAUACUUUACAUUCAGCGGGAGAAAUCCCGAUUGAAUCAUCUAAGAUUUAUCUUAACUAAGCACAACUCUUAGCAAUGGAUAUCUUGGUUCUC
rnacentral:misc_RNA from 1 species